rnacentral:rRNA from 1 species
GGAAUAUUGGACAAUGGGCGCAAGCCUGAUCCAGCCAUGCCGCGUGCAGGAUGACGGUCCUAUGGAUUGUAAACUGCUUUUAUACAGGAAGAAACACUACUUCGUGAAGUAGCUUGACGGUACUGUAAGAAUAAGGAUCGGCUAACUCCGUGCCAGCAGCCGCGGUAAUACGGAGGAUCCAAGCGUUAUCCGGAAUCAUUGGGUUUAAAGGGUCCGUAGGCGGUUUAAUAAGUCAGUGGUGAAAGCCCAUCGCUCAACGGUGGAACGGCCAUUGAUACUGUUAGACUUGAAUUAUUAGGAAGUAACUAGAAUAUGUAGUGUAGCGGUGAAAUGCUUAGAGAUUACAUGGAAUACCAAUUGCGAAGGCAGGUUACUACUAAUUGAUUGACGCUGAUGGACGAAAGCGUGGGUAGCGAACAGGAUUAGAUACCCUAG